rnacentral:tRNA from 1 species
GCCGACAUAGCUCAGUUGGUAGAGCAGCUGAUUUGUAAUCAGCGGGUCGGGAGUUCGAGUCUCUCUGUCGGCACCA